rnacentral:rRNA from 1 species
GAGGGUGCAAGCGUUAAUCGGAAUUACUGGGCGUAAAGCGAGCGUAGUCGGUUAUUUAAGUCGGAUGUGAAAUCCCCGGGCUCAACCUGGGAAUUGCAUUCGAUACUGGAUAGCUAGAGUUCGGCAGAGGGAAGCGGAGUUUCUGGUGUAGCGGUGAAAUGCGUAGAUAUUAGAAGGAACAUCAGUGGCGAAAGCAGCUUCCUGGACCAGAACUGACGAUCAGGCUCGAAAGCGUGGGGAGCAAACAGGAUUAGAUACCCUGGUAGUCCACGCCAUAAACGAUGACAACUAGACGUUGGGGACAUAUGGUCCACAGUGUCGCAGCUAACGCGUUAAGUUGUCCGCCUGGGGAGUACGGCCGCAAGGUUG